UCUUUAUCCUGUCUGUUUGCCUCGCUGCUCUCCCUGAUAACAUUUCCUGUCUGAUGCCUUGACCUCUGACUCUUUCUGCCAGGUGCCAUCCUCAGCGUUGACUCACUUUAGUGCCACCCUGCUGAUUGGCAUUGCUCUUCUGAGGUCAUCACCAUCUUUCUUCAGCCAACCAAAACAA